rnacentral:rRNA from 1 species
UACGUAGGGGGCUAGCGUUGUCCGGAAUCAUUGGGCGUAAAGAGCGUGUAGGCGGCCCGGUAAGUCCGCUGUGAAAGUCGGGGGCUCAACCCUCGAAUGCCGGUGGAUACUGUCGGGCUAGAGUGCGGAAGAGGCGAGUGGAAUUCCUGGUGUAGCGGUGAAAUGCGCAGAUAUCAGGAGGAACACCAAUUGCGAAGGCAGCUCGCUGGGACGUAACUGACGCUGAGACGCGAAAAGCGUGGGGAGCAAACAGG